rnacentral:lncRNA from 1 species
CUAUUGCCAAAGCACUCGGGAGCUCAGCUUUAUGUUCUUGUACACAUACAUGCUCAUACACACUCAUGUGCACAGGGAACUCUCGUCCUUGCUUCGCAUUUCAUUUUAAAACAUACGUUAUUAUCAUGAUACAAUUUGUAUGUUAAAUAACACUAUAUGAAAUGAUUUGAUAUAAUUUUAAGCAGAAUACAGAAGGAGAAAACUUAAUGUUGCAAAACUCUUCUCCCAGUUGGUUUUGGGGUUUUUGUUAUUGUUGGUUUUUUUUGUUUUUUGUUUUUUGAUUUUUUGCAUUUAUUUUUGUUAUUUUUUGAGAAUUCCAUUCAUGACUACUGUAUUUUUGUCAUUUCUCCCAUGCCCCUCUCCUCCCUCUCAAACACAACCUGCUGAGUCCAAUUAGUGUUGCUCAAAUGCAUAUACAUUCACCCUGGAGAAGGCUGAUCCUCCAUCUCCUAACAGCCGUUAGUCACCCAUAGUUCUUCUGGUGGACGUGUGGGUCCUUGUAAGAGUCCCCUUGCCAUGAGAGUGUCAACUGGUUGUUGUCGCUAUGCAGGUCUUACUGAGGCAACCAUAUUGUUGAGAUCUCAAGUGUGCAGCUUCCCUGUCAUAUAUAGAGGACACUGUCUCAUAGCAGAUGUCAUGGUUCUCUGUCUCUAACAGUCUUUCUGCCCUCCAUUUUCCAGUGUUCUCUUUAUCAUUUGAUAUAGUGGUUGGAUUGUAGAUGAAUCAACUAGAGAUGUGUGCCUAAUCGACAGUUGUUCUCUCCAUUUUGACAAGUUGUGGGUUUAUGUGAUGGUCUCCAUCUGCAGCAAACAGGAAGCUUCUUUUACAAGGUGUGAGAGCUUCCCGUAUCUCUAGAUACAAUGAUAGAUGUUUACAAUGCAACUGGAAUUUACCCUGGUUUAAUAAUGUGGCAAUAGUGAAUUCUCCUUUAGAGUUCAUGACCUUACCAACAGCAGGUAGCUGACUAGGAUUAUAGUACCAGCUAUGAAUUUCCUCCUAUUUAAGUGGGCCUUAAAUUACUCUCUUGGCAAUACUUUGAGAUACAAUAAAAGUCAGUCCUCACGCACAAGGCUUCCAGGUUAGCUCCAUCUGGAUUUCCCUAAGUCCUGGGUCCAAAGUGCAUGCUGUCUUCAGCAGUAGGGUCUUAGAUUUAAAUCUCAGAACAUUUUUUAAAGUUAACUCUUUUAAACGUGUUAGUCUCUCAAAUAUAUUAAGUGCCUAGUCAUGGUUAAUUCCUGUUGGCCAAUGGAAUUAAAAACAAAGUACAACAUUCAGAGUCACCAUGUUAAAGGAAUAACACAUGUAUUAUUUUGGAAUGUAAAAAUCGUUAUUUCUGCUUUACUACACAGAAAGUUGAAAUUAUAUAUCCAUCAGAAAAUAUAAUUGAAACUAG